CUGAAUUCAGCGGCGGACGGGUGAGUAAUGCCUAGGAAUCUGCCUGGUAGUGGGGGACAACGUUUCGAAAGGAACGCUAAUACCGCAUACGUCCUACGGGAGAAAGCAGGGGACCUUCGGGCCUUGCGCUAUCAGAUGAGCCUAGGUCGGAUUAGCUAGUUGGUGAGGUAAUGGCUCACCAAGGCGACGAUCCGUAACUGGUCUGAGAGGAUGAUCAGUCACACUGGAACUGAGACACGGUCCAGACUCCUACGGGAGGCAGCAGUGGGGAAUAUUGGACAAUGGGCGAAAGCCUGAUCCAGCCAUGCCGCGUGUGUGAAGAAGGUCUUCGGAUUGUAAAGCACUUUAAGUUGGGAGGAAGGGCAUUAACCUAAUACGUUAGUGUUUUGACGUUACCGACAGAAUAAGCACCGGCUAACUCUGUGCCAGCAGCCGCGGUAAUACAGAGGGUGCAAGCGUUAAUCGGAAUUACUGGGCGUAAAGCGCGCGUAGGUGGUUUGUUAAGUUGGAUGUGAAAUCCCCGGGCUCAACCUGGGA
rnacentral:rRNA from 1 species